CUUCCCUGGAUCGGUUUGAUGAAGCAGGCCUCCAUGUUGUAAACUGUCUCAUGGAGAGGCCCAACUGGCAAGGAACUGAGGAAAGCCUCUGGCCAACAGCCAGUGAGGAGCUGAAUCCUGCCAACAACACUGAGAAAGUUUGGAAGUGGAUCCUGCCCCAGUUGAACCUUCAGAUGGCUGUGGUCUCAGCUGACAUCUUGAUUGUAGCUUUGUAAGAGACUUUGACCCAGAGGACUCAGAGAUGGAUAAGCUGAGGAUUGGAGAGGUGAGGUCAGUGCAGCAGUCCCACAGCACACCAGAGCUGGAUUUGAACCCAGGUGCAUUUGCAUGGCUUCUGGCUCCUCUGUGGACUGACAGCCUGUGUGGGCCAGCGCUUCCCUUCUCUGGGACUCAAUUCUUCCACUUAUAAAAUGAGGGGGUUGGACCAGAUGACUUUUUAAGAGUCUUCCCAUCCCUGGUAUUCCCUGAGUCGCCAUCUUGGAAAUUCUGACCUCAUUCCUGCUUUGUGCAGCUGUUUAUUUGCUUGUCUCUCUUACACUGUGGAGCUGUGGAGCAGUUCAGGCCAGUCUUGCUGGGAUAAAGGCAUAGCUUCCUCUGUGGCCUCUGGGUUUGAGAAGGUCUCCGAGAAUCCUCACUCCACAGAGGACAUAGCAUCUUUUUCGGAGCCCUCCCACUGGCUCGAGAGGGAACUUGUAAUUUCGUUUUAUUUUUGGUUUUCUCUCUCUUGCUCUUUUUACUGGAGUAAGAUAUACAUAAUAUAAAACUUACCAUUUAUCUAUUUUCAA
rnacentral:lncRNA from 10 species